UACGUAGGGUGCGAGCGUUGUCCGGAAUUACUGGGCGUAAAGGGCUCGUAGGCGGCCAACUAAGUCAGACGUGAAAUCCCUCGGCUUAACCGGGGAACUGCGUCUGAUACUGGAUGGCUUGAGUGUGGGAGAGGGAUGCGGAAUUCCAGGUGUAGCGGUGAAAUGCGUAGAUAUCUGGAGGAACACCGGUGGCGAAGGCGGCAUCCUGGACCAUUACUGACGCUGAGUGAGCGAAAGCCAGGGGAGCAAACGGG
rnacentral:rRNA from 1 species